CACUUCAGGGCUAACCAGAAGUUAAAGCAUAUUACUGAGGGCAUUAUCCAAGUGCCUCUUGAACCCUGACCGCCCCGAUGGGGUAUCAACCACCUCUCCAGGAAGCCUGCUCCAGUGUUUGACCACCCUCAUGGCAAAGAAAUUUUCCCUACCGUCCAGUCUGACCCUGCCCUGGUGCAGCGUUGUGCCCUUCCCAUGCAUCCCAUCAUCGGUGACAGGAGCAGAGGCCGGCACCUCCUCUGUGCUUCCCUUCCUUGGGGAGUUGCAGAGAGCCAUGGGGUCGCCUCUCAGCCUCCAGGCUGCAGGGCCAGCUGUUCCCAAAACCUGCACUUACAGCUGUGAGGUAAAGCUUGCUUAGCCUUGCUGCAUGGAAGAUGAAAGCUGUGACUUUCUGCCGUGGGGUAUAGAUGAUGCCCUGCUACACUAUCACAAAAGAUUUUUGUUGUUGUUCUGUUUGGACUCACCCAGAAUUCAGACUGCUGGGAUGCAGAACAGCAAAACCAAUGUCAAGAGAUCAGGGCAAUAUUCUUACGGAUAUCCUGUUAUACAAACCUCAGUGUGAAACCUUCCCAGUGUGAGCACUGCCCCUUUUCCUCAGACUUAAAUUAGACAUCUCCUGUUUCAACAUCUAAUGGUAUCUGACCUUUGUUCUGAGGGAGUCCAGCAACAGUUCAAAGCAAUAAGUUGGUAGGGAGGUUGUUUAAACUGCUGUUGUCCCUAUUACAGGUUAUCUGGAAGGGGAUUCCUAAAAAUGAUGGGACAUUUCAUGACUCUCGAAAACCUUGUGGAAGUCAGCAGCCUUGUAAUGGACUCGAGCAUCCUUCUUACAGAUCACCGCAGAACUGAAGACGUCUUGGGAAGCCUAAGCUCCACCUCAAGCCACUUUCACGGUAUUACAUUGUUUACUAAACCUCAGGUCAGGGUCCCACAUGGGAAUCCUUCACAGACAUUAAACAAUUAGUACAAGAGAGAAUAUCAAUGAGCCAGAAAGCAGCAGCAGGCAUGAAAAUCCAACCCUCUGGACUGGUCUGAUCAAAAGUGACAGGCUUGCUUAAUGUAAAACCCAAAAGGCACAGCUACUCAGUUAAUUUUUACCUAGGCACCUUUCUACUCUUCUGGAAGCAAAACAAUGUGUCCUGCACUUGCUGGAAAUCGUGGUGGUGUGUGUCAACUGCUCCUCACCCAAGAAUGAUCAGCUCACCAUCACAGGUAACUGUGAAGAUGGUGUGAAAUACAAGCUGUCCUGCUGGCAUGUGUUGCAGAUUAAGUAUUCCAAAAGCAUAAGGAACCAUUCCUGCCUUUCCAUAACACCACCCAAGAGGAGCAAAGCAGAAUGAGCCUUAUGAUACAGUGUGUUCUUUUUCUCUGGAAAGAAGGGAUGAAGUCCAGUUAGAAAGCUAAACUAUACCACAUCACCUGGCAGCAGAGGUAAGUGAGGCCCACAACCCCUUCAGGACGGAGUUUUGGACAUGGAGACUGGCAUAUAUACU